GACGAACGCUGGCGGCGUGCUUAACACAUGCAAGUCGAACGAUGAAGCCUAGCUUGCUAGGUGGAUUAGUGGCGAACGGGUGAGUAAUACGUGAGUAACCUGCCCCUUACUUUCCUGGAUAACUGCUCGAAAGGGUAGCUAAUACGGGAUAUUCUGACCGGCCUGCAUGGGUUGGUUUGGAAAGGUUGUUUUUUCUGGUGAGGGAUGGGCUCGCGGCCUAUCAGCUUGUUGGUGGGGUGAUGGCCUACCAAGGCUUUGACGGGUAGCCGGCCUGAGAGGGUGGACGGUCACACUGGGACUGAGAUACGGCCCAGACUCCUACGGGAGGCAGCAGUGGGGAAUAUUGCACAAUGGGCGCAAGCCUGAUGCAGCGACGCCGCGUGAGGGAUGAAGGCCUUCGGGUUGUAAACCUCUUUCGUCAGGGAACAAGGCAUUACGUUUUGGUGGUGUUGAGGGUACCUGGAUAAGAAGCGCCGGCUAACUACGUGCCAGCAGCCGCGGUAAUACGUAGGGCGCAAGCGUUGUCCGGAAUUAUUGGGCGUAAAGAGCUCGUAGGCGGCUGGUCGCGUCUGUCGUGAAAACUUCCGGCUCAACCGGGGGCUUGCGGUGGGUACGGGCCGGCUAGAGUGCGGUAGGGGUAACUGGAACUCCUGGUGUAGCGGUGGAAUGCGCAGAUAUCAGAAGAACACCGAUGGCGAAGGCAGGUUACUGGGCCGUUACUGACGCUGAGGAGCGAAAGCGUGGGGAGCGAACAGG
rnacentral:rRNA from 1 species